UGGAGCGGGCCGGGCCGGGCCGGGGGCUGCCCGCCCCGCGGGGGGACGGCGGGCUCGCUGUGGGCCCUUUUAGGACUGUAACAUUCAUGUGCAGCAAAGUAUUUUUUCUCAAGGCAAGCCACUAUGCCCAACAGUGGGGGAUAUCUUAAGCAAAAAAACAAGAAGAAAAAAAAAAAAAAAAAAAAGGACGUGCAGGUGCUUAUCUCCUUUGGGCAGGUUCUGUACUGGUGCAGCUGCAGGUCCCAAUGGGCUGACUGGUCCCAGCUGGGUGUGUGUGGUGCCAGGCGCUACCCGGGCAUGACCCAGGGGUGCCGACCAGAGACAGGGAAUGGGACUGUUCUUCCCCGGCUUUCCCAAGGGAUCCUCUCUGGGACACACAGAGGUUGGAAGCCCCUUCCAGGGUGGAUGCUUGACCGUGUUCCUUCUGGUGUUUCUCAAACACUUCAUGAGCACAUGCUGUCCUGGAGCCUGAAGAUGACACCGCUGCAGUCCUUGAAAGGGUCCUGCAGUAUGGAGGGCAUUAGUCCAGCCUAGCAGGACACAGGACAAACAGCCCAGGCUACAGAGAGGAUGCUCCACAUGGUCUAGGACAGGUUCUGGAUUUAUUUCUUUACUAGUUAUAAAAGAAGAUAAAAGACUGGACACUUUGAAAUGUUUCGGGAUCACGUAUCAAUCCUCUUUGGAUGUUUCUGACUGCUUAUGAGUGUAACUUGCACUUGUGGAAAAUGAUCCUGUGUUAUGCCCUAACUCUGUGCAAGGCUGGAUGCAGCAGCAGGCCUGGUGCUAUCAGUAUGCAGUGGCUUAUGGCAGUAGAGUGGAAGGUGGGAUGCGGGUGUCCCCUUUGUGCCUCUCUCAGCAGUGGCUGGGGGUCUGUGCCCAGUCAGAGCUGCCCAGGCUUCAGGCUGCCUUCUGGCCUCAGCAUUGAGCUUGGAUGGUGUCACCUUGAGCCCUUUGUGGUGGCACACGAGAUCACUGGUAACUGCUCAUUCUCCCCAUCUGUGGGUCUGAGCAGAUCCACAGGCCCAAGAGCUAGUCCCGGUGGCAGUGACACUCCUGGGGACAGCAGGUGGCACCCAGCCCAAGUGUCUCUGCUUUGUUAGCUGUGUCUAAACCUGAAGCUGAAGGCAGCUUGCUGCUCUCUUGCCCUUCUCCCUCUGAUCUCUAUCUUCGCAGAAUCUAUUCCGUGUUUUGAAAUGUGCAACACGAGCAGCGUCUUACUGCAUGGAAGGACAUUUCAUCCUGUUUUGAGAUGUUGAUAAAGACCAUGGUCCAUUCCGAACCUCAUCCCACGCUGCAGCAGAACCUAGGAGGACUUUGUGGCUCCUGGUUUAUUCCAGAGGAGGCAUUGCCUUCUGGGUUUACAGCAACAGUCAGAUUUGGAAGGGAAGAGGGCCACCCAGAGCCAGCUGGACCAUGUCCAGGCACCAUCUCCAUGGAUGGAGACUCCACCACCUCCCUGGGCAACCUGUGCCAGCGCUCAGCCACCCUCACAGUGAAAAAGUGUUUCCUGAUGUUCAGAAGGACCCUCCUGUGUUCCAGUUUGUGCCCAUGGCCUCUGGUCCUGUCCCUGGGCACCACUGAGAAGAGCCUGGCUCCAUCCUCUCUGCACCCUCCCUCCAGGUAUUUAUACACACUGAUGGGAUCCCCCUGAGCCCACUCUGCUCCAGGCUGAACAGUCCCAGCUCUCUCAGCCUCUCCUCUUAGCAGAAAUGCUCCAGUCCCUUCAUCACCUUCAUGGCCCUUCGCUGGACUCUCUCCAGCCUGUCCCUGUCUCUCUUGUACUGGGGAGCCCAGCACUGGACCCAGCACUCCAGGGGUGGGCUCACCAGUGCUGAGCAGAGGGGAAGGAUCACCUCCCUCCACGUGCUGUGAAACUCCUCCUAAUGCAGCCCAGGACACCAUUUGUUCGCCGCCUUUUCUGCAAGGGCAUAUUGCUGGCUCAUGGUAAACCUGCUGUGCACCUUUUCUGUCAAGCUGCUUUCCAGCUGGGUGGCCCCCAGCAUACACCAGUGCAGAUUUCAGGAAUAUUUAAAAAUCUGAGAAGCCACAAAGCCGAUGAACAUGUUAAUAUUGUUUGAAAUAGUUAUUUUAAGCCAAUUUUGUGAUGAAAAGAAACACAUAUUUUGA